AUUGACACAAAAUUAUUUUCAGUUUGAAUACAUAAAAAACAAAAUAAAAUUCAUUAUAUUAUACAUUUCAUUAUAUUACAUAAUAUGAAGUAGAAAUUUUAAAAUAAAAUUGUAAAACCAGUCAAUUUGACUAAUGUGGUAGUUCUAGUGUUAACUAUUAUCCUACUUUCACUGUAGAUGGCGAAAUGAUUGAACAGUUGUGUCCACCGAACGAUGCCAUAAUACCUGGUCGACCUUUUAAAUUAAGAGCAAGUUGUCGAUAGUUUCGUAAUGGUGGCUAAUGGUGUCGACGACAGGUGUGAUGACGAAGCAGUGACAUGUUUGAGGAGGCUUGCGUUCGAAGGAAAGUGACGAUGGAAUAAUCUUCGUCUGAUUUAUCGCGUCGGUAGGACGUGCAACGAUAAAAACGUUGACUGGGAAUUUGAUCCUCCAGUGGUUCGCUCAAUACGACCGCUUUCUAUAUAUCGCGCGACGAGUCGCAAUCGAAAUCGAAGAUCACGCCGUCCCGUAUAACCGAGAUUAUCUACGAGUGUUCGGGUAGAAUGGCUAAGGAAGCAAUUUAGCUGUCCUUUUGAAAGCCGGAUCGUGGAAAACGAACUUCCAACACGAUUAACGAUAAUUUGUGAUCGACAGUACAGUUGCCGAGAUUUUGCGACGACGUAGCGCCACAUGAUGUAGCACAGAUCACAUAAUCAUAAGAUACGUAAGUGACGAAUUAUGCGAAGAUCUCGAUUGUUUCGACGCACCACCUGUAGGCGCUGUCUGAUCUGCACUUUGCAUCGAAACAGAACAGCGAAACACACGUCGCCGAUGAUCGUAAGCAGUUUAUACGCUAAAGAGUUUAUAACUCGUCGAUUUAAUUAAAUUGAAAAAGAAUUUAACCCUUUGCACUCGAGAAGCAAUUCUCAGUCGCCACAGCGUAACCGUGUGGCAACUCGAGAGGAGAAUGAGAGGCGACAAUCCCUGUUUAUGAGAGCGCAGUAUUGGUUAGUAAAUAGAUUCCUGAGCUCUUUAUAUUGUUUGUUAUGAAGUGUGAAGCGUUACAGUUUAAGACGGAGAUGAAAUAUUUAUGCUCAAAUUCUUCCGAAACUAUGGUUCUGGUAACGUUAGUUCAGAUUCGACGACCGUGGUACAAGUAUUAUAGUUUCGUAAAUUUAGAAGCUCCAAAAAAAUGGAUUUGGAAAUUUGUUUAAUUAAUUUACAUAUUCCGUAAAAGAGCAAAAGAACGAAAAGCCACUUAACCACCUGCGAUUUAUAAAAACUUGUUUUUCAAAAGUGGACCAGUUGAGAGGAGAUAUUCGAUAAACGCGAGAUCGGGCUUCGAUGUCGACUGCUAAUUGGGAUGAAAUUCGGUUAAAUAGAAAGCUGCAUGUAAUUUUAACAGGAAGGAAAAAGGAUUAUAAGGUGUGUUCUUACCAAAACAAAGCAGGAGAAAGACACGAAACAACUUAUUAUUGCGAUACUUGUGCCGACAAGCCAAGAAUGCAUCUUGCCAGAUGUUUUACAAAUUAUCGUAAAAAAAAUACAGAAAAAAUAUUAAAAAAUGAUAUGUUCAAAGAUGUAAAUAUUGUAGUAUCGCGGACAAAUGGCCUAAGCAAUAUC